rnacentral:lncRNA from 10 species
GGCAUGUGCAAACUCCAUCUUCAUUCAUUAACAAACUAAUCCGUGGCCCGGCCUGGUGACUCAUGCUUGUAAUCCCAGCACUUUGGGAGGCCGAGGGCCCUGGAGCACCACCGUCCCUCCCCUAGGCCCAGGAUGUGAUUCUGAAUCUACAGUCAGACUGGACCACCUCUCCCCCAUGCCCCCAGAAUGUCCACAGGGGCUCCCUCGCCUACAAUAGAUGGAUUAGAUUCCUCCCUACUCUUCCCACACUGUCAGAGUCUGACUGGUGUGAAGUUCCGGUGUUUUUGUGUGUAUUUUACUACCAGGGUCGGCUAGAUAAGGAGGAGCUUUCAUUACAUCCUGGAAGUCUGUCCCCCGCACACACGCACAGCCGUCCUCCCUUCCCCCAACAUCUGAUCUAAUUCUCUCUCUGCU